GUGCUCACUUCAGCAGCACGGAGACUAAAAUUGGAACGACACAGAGAAGAUUAGCCUGGCCUUCGUGCACGAUGACACACCAAUUUGUUCCAUAUUUUU
rnacentral:snRNA from 1 species